UGCGCGCACGAGCGAAUACGCGCGCGCGCGCGCGCGCGACACGUCGAGUUUUAAACCAACCAAAAAUCGAAAUGCUAGGAGUAGUGGAAAGGAAACAUGUUUCAGUCCCAUGCUGGAUGAUGGACUUUAUCGUUGACAUCCCGCAUAAUAAUAAAGAAGAAAAGUAGCACUACAGUCCAACCCCCACGGGAGGGGUUGUUGUUCAACAACCUACCCCGGGAACAACGAUUUCGACCUAACGGGAUUCUCCGUACGAACAGUUUUCUCUUCCCUGCCGCAAUUGAUGGUGUAAGGGAAGAAAGGAAGAAAGGAGAGAGAGAAAAAAAAGAAGGUGG
rnacentral:lncRNA from 1 species